GACGAACGCUGGCGGCGUGCCUAAUACAUGCAAGUAGAACGCUGAAGGAGGAGCUUGCUUCUCUGGAUGAGUUGCGAACGGGUGAGUAACGCGUAGGUAACCUGCCUGGUAGCGGGGGAUAACUAUUGGAAACGAUAGCUAAUACCGCAUAAUAGUAGAUGUUGCAUGACAUUUGCUUAAAAGGUGCAAUUGCAUCACUACCAGAUGGACCUGCGUUGUAUUAGCUAGUUGGUGAGGUAACGGCUCACCAAGGCGACGAUACAUAGCCGACCUGAGAGGGUGAUCGGCCACACUGGGACUGAGACACGGCCCAGACUCCUACGGGAGGCAGCAGUAGGGAAUCUUCGGCAAUGGACGGAGGUCUGACCGAGCAACGCCGCGUGAGUGAAGAAGGUUUUCGGAUCGUAAAGCUCUGUUGUAAGAGAAGAACGAGUGUGAGAGUGGAAAGUUCACACUGUGACGGUAUCUUACCAGAAAGGGACGGCUAACUACGUG
rnacentral:rRNA from 1 species